CUGCACCAAGGCUAGGAUCCACAGAAAACCACGAGGAAAUGUGAUUUCAAAACAGUGAUGAGUUAGGGUGGCCCAGGACGGUGAGGGCCAGCAGGGCCUCUGAUGUGAACUCCUACCAGGCCCAGGGCCAGAGUGGGAUUCCUUCCUGCACCCCGCUCCCGAACUCCAUAUAGUACAACCUUAAUGAACACGGACAAAAUUGCUUUGUCUCCUCAAAAUAGCAUUAAAGAUAACACACGAAAUUUGCAGGUCUGUUCAAAUGCAUGUUAAAACAGUAUUUUCCUGGAUUUUCUGAUUGCAGUGCUUGGAUCAGCUGAUGAGAGCUUUUCUCCACAUCUCCACACCUUUUGGCGGGGCUUGGGAAGAACGUAGCAGGUCCUGUUUCCUCAUUUGGACUAGGAAGAGUGGGACGGGGUCAUUUAAACACCAGCACCAUCUUCUACAGUUUGUGCAUGGAAGACUCCUGGAUCAGGGCUGGUUAGUGAGAAGAGAAGAGAGCCAGGAGGAGGCCUUCACGCAACUCAUGUUGGGGCUGUGCCAUCUGCGAAGUGAGGUUGCUGGAUACCAGAGGCCCAGAGCCCCUGAAGAGUGGCCCCGGCCACAGGCCCACCUGGGUGGCAGGGCAGCACAGGCCCACACCAGUGGGCACUCACCCAUGGACUCGGUGAGUGCCACCUACUGUCUCAUGCCCUCUGGCAUUUGAUAGCCCCCCUUCCCUCUGCUGGAAGCUGCCUCUCUCCUCCAGCUCUUUUCCUGGGGAGUGUUUCUGGUUUAAUUCUGUUUCAACAAACUUACCUGGGCGGCUCAUUCUAAGUGCCAGGCCUGCAGCAGGUGCUGGGCAUGUGACCUGGGCCAGCUGGACCCUCAAGGUGCUCAGCCCGGUGGGGGGACAGAACCAUCAACAGACAACUAGAUGAUCUAAUAUGAGAUGCAGGGACACAGAAGAGGAUGGGAACCCGCCUGGGCUGGUGAAGGGCAGAGAGCCUUCCCCUGGGAGCCCCACCUGAAUUGGAAAAUGAGUACAAGACAACAAGGGGAGAAGCAGACACUGCAGGAGGAGGGAGCUGCAUGAGCCAGGGUGGGGCUGGACAUUCAGGGAACAUGACCAGUGAGGAGGCCAGCCCAGCAGCGGAGCCACGACAGCAUGGGGCAGGGACAGGCCAAGGGGCAUGGGAUGGGAGGGCCUGCAAUGCACAGAACGGAGGGCAGGGUCCUAGCUGAUUCCAGGUUCCCAGCUGGGGUGCUCAGGAGUGUCACCAAAACAGAGAAUGCAGGAGACAGGCAGGUCAGAGAGAGAUAGGCUUGGGUUUCCCUGUGGAACCUGAGAAGAGCUGUCCAACUGGCAUGGGCAGCAGGGACCCUUUGGGGCUACCUGGGCCUGCUGAGGUGGCCCUCUCAUGGCACCCCAAGUGUGGAAAGUUCUCAGAGACAAUAAAGGCUACUCUGUGAUGCUGAUUGUGGCUCCUGCUGUCAUUGAUAAAAGAGGCUGAAAUUAAAAAUCAGCCUCCUCCCCAGGUGGGCUGCAUUUACAGAUGCUCCUAGCUCUGCACCCGGUGGCACUUUAUCUCCUGGAUGAGUGGACUUGACUCUUGGAGAAGCUGACAGUCCAAGGCCACAUCCCCAUGAGGCACGGAGACCAAGGUGUCACUGCUUAUAUCAGUAUGCCCAGAGAGCCCUCUUCACUCCCAUCCAUAGAGGGUUAGCUUACAGAGCUGAGGCAUAUGGCAGACCAGAGGGAAAAUUACCCUGUAAAGACUGCGGGCCUCUCAGGCCUUCCUGUAGCAGGAAACCACAGUGAUGCACUUACUUAACAAAAGUGUAUUGAGCAGCUUCUUUGGGCCAGGCACUGUGCCAGGUACUGGGGAUCCAGGGAUGAAAGUCCAGAUCGAGGCCCCUCAGGACUUCACAGUCUAGUGGACAUCAGGCAAUUUCAGCAGGGCAUGACACACACAGUCACAGGAUGGUGACAUAAAUGCCUAGAGGAAGGGCAUUUGAGAAGACUUGAAGAAGAAGAGGAAGCAGGGCACGCUGUGCUCCCCUAUCAUACUUUCUGGUGCGAUCAUAUGAAUUUUUUAAUUGAGCAUCUACUAUCUACCAGGUUCCUGAGAUGAAGCAUCUCUAAUCUGUGCCACCACUUAGAAGGCAAUUUAUAGUGGGAGAAACCACUCUCAGAAAGGAUAACUGGCUUGUUCUAGCCCACACUGCUGGUGAGGAGAGGAAAAGAGGUUCAAAUCCAGGGGUAUCUGACUCCCAAGGCCCAAACUCUCCAUCCUACAGUGCCGUGCACUCCAG
rnacentral:lncRNA from 10 species